UACGUAGGGUGCGAGCGUUGUCCGGAAUUAUUGGGCGUAAAGAGCUCGUAGGCGGUCUGUCGCGUCGGCUGUGAAAACUCGGGGCUCAACUCCGAGCUUGCAGUCGAUACGGGCAGGCUAGAGUUCGGCAGGGGAGACUGGAAUUCCUGGUGUAGCGGUGAAAUGCGCAGAUAUCGGGAGGAACACCUGUGGCGAAAGCGGCUCACUGGACCACAACUGACGCUGAGGCGCGAAAGCUAGGGGAGCAAACAGG
rnacentral:rRNA from 1 species